UUGGAGGGCAAGUCUGGUGCCAGCAGCUGCGGUAAUUCCAGCUCCAAUAGCGUAUAUUAAAGUUGUUGCAAUUAAAAAGCUCGUAGUUGAAUUUCGGGGUUAGUAGGUUGGUCGUGUCUCAGGUAUAUACUGAUCUCACUGAUUCCUCCUUUCUGAUGAACUGUAAUGCCAUUAAUUUGGUAUUAUGGGGAAACUGAACUGUUACUUUAAAAAAAUUAGAGUAUUUAAAGCAGGCUAACGCUUGAAUACAUUAGUAUGGAAUAAUGAAAUAGGACGUUCGAUCCUAUUUUAUUGGUUUCUAGGAUUGAUGUAAUGAUUAAUAGGGAUAGUUGGGGGCAUUAGUAUUCAAUUGUCAGAGGUGAAAUUCUUGGAUUUAUUGAAGACUAACUACUGCGAAAGCAUUUGCCAAGGAUGUUUUCAUUAAUCAAGAACGAAAGUUAGGGGAUCGAAGACGAUCAGAUACCGUCGUAGUCUUAACCAUAAACUAUGCCGACUAGGGAUCGGAUGAUGUUAAUUUUUUAAUGACUCAUUCGGCGCCUUACGGGAAAC
rnacentral:rRNA from 1 species